GGGGAAUUUUCCGCAAUGGGCGAAAGCCUGACGGAGCAAUACCGCGUGAGGGAGGAAGGCUCUUGGGUUGUAAACCUCUUUUCUCAGGGGAAUAAGAACUGAAGGUACCUGAGGAAUCAGCAUCGGCUAACUCCGUGCCAGCAGCCGCGGUAAUACGGAGGAGGCAAGCGUUAUCCGGAAUUAUUGGGCGUAAAGCGUCCGUAGGUGGUUUAGUAAGUCUGCUGUUAAAGCGCGGGGCUUAACUCCGUAUCGGCAGUGGAAACUACUAGACUAGAGUGUGGUAGGGGUAGAGGGAAUUCCCAGUGUACCGGUGAAAUGCGUAGAUAUUGGGAAGAACACCGGUGGCGAAAGCGCUCUACUGGGCCAUAACUGACACUGAUGGACGAAAGCUAGGGGAGCGAAAGGGAUUAGAUACCCCUGUAGUC
rnacentral:rRNA from 1 species